rnacentral:rRNA from 1 species
CAGUCGCACGCGUCUUGGUUAUUGAUGUUGGAUGCUUGCAUUUAACUGAUUUAACAUUGAGACGAGUGGCGAACUGGUGAGUAACACGUGGGUAACCUGCCCUUGAAGUAGGGGAUAACACUUGGAAACAGGUGCUAAUACCGUAUAACAACCAAAACCACCUGGUUUUGGUUUAAAAGAUGGCUUCGGCUAUCACUUUAGGAUGGACCCGCGGCGUAUUAGCUUGUUGGUAAGGUAACGGCCUACCAAGGCAAUGAUACGUAGCCGACCUGAGAGGGUAAUCGGCCACAUUGGGACUGAGACACGGCCCAAACUCCUACGGGAGGCAGCAGUAGGGAAUCUUCCACAAUGGACGAAAGUCUGAUGGAGCAACGCCGCGUGAGUGAUGAAGGGUUUCGGCUCGUAAAACUCUGUUGUUGGAGAAGAACAGGUGUGAGAGUAACUGUUCACAUCUUGACGGUAUCCAACCAGAAAGCCACGGCUAACUACGUGCCAGCAGCCGCGGUAAUACGUAGGUGGCAAGCGUUGUCCGGAUUUAUUGGGCGUAAAGCGAGCGCAGGCGGUUUCUUAGGUCUGAUGUGAAAGCCUUCGGCUUAACCGGAGAAGUGCAUCGGAAACCAGGAGACUUGAGUGCAGAAGAGGACAGUGGAACUCUAUGUGUAGCGGUGAAAUGCGUAGAUAUAUGGAAGAACACCAGUGGCGAAGGCGGCUGUCUGGUCUGUAACUGACGCUGAGGCUCGAAAGCAUGGGUAGCGAACAGGAUUAGAUACCCUGGUAGUCCAUGCCGUANACGAUGAGUGCUAAGUGUUGGAGGGUUUCCGCCCUUCAGUGCUGCAGCUAACGCAUUAAGCACUCCGCCUGGGGAGUACGACCGCAAGGUUGAAACUCAAAGGAAUUGACGGG